AUUCGAAUCCGAAACCUGCUGAUUGAGCAACCGAACCACUGGUCCAUGUUGAAUCCACGCUUGUGUAAUUUGCGCAACUCCACGACGCCUGCAAUACAUGAUAAAUUUCAUUACUUGAAACUGGUCUGAGAGAGGGAGACUAGAUCGAGAGUAUGUCAUUCUUCUGCUUACAUUCAGGGCCUUUUAAUAUUUUGUCGAGUCGGUCCAAUCAUAACAUUACCCCGCGAGUCUCCUUGCAUGCGUAAUGUUUACAUUCGUUCAGAUCGGCGAGGCCUCACAACAUUCAGUCUCCCUAUCUUUGAAUUAUUAUUGCUGUAACACUUAGAUUAAUAACAUUGGUUACGCAAUUUAUUUUGACGUUGACCUGUAGGGUAUAUACAGGUAUCACUGGAAAUGGAUAGAUGGGACUACAUCGUAUUCAUUCAGGGCAUGUUUGGAUGAUGAGGUUGUUUUGGAGUUUGACGUGGUUUUCAGGUCAUUUGUAAUUGAGGAAGUUUCAUGCGGUGGACUUGUAUUCGGAAUACACACAAAGUGGGUUGGCCUGAUCAGUUUUGGAAAAGUACUUCACAAAGACAUCACGCAGUUGAACGAAACAUCAACAUGAAAGUACAAAAUAAGUUCGUGAUGCGUCCAGACUGACCAAUCAGUGAUCGCCAUCUCAGAGAGCGCCGUGUCACGCGGAGGAAUAUGGACCGGCCUCAGGGUUCCGUUGAAAAAUACCGGGGGUACGUGAUGCUAAAAAGCAACGGGUAUAAAUAAAAUAAACCCACAUUCUCUUUAUCUGUCUAUGUGCUGAUGACAAAUGCCAAUGGGCUCUAGACCAACACAAAGAGAAAGGUGUGCUCAUUACACAUUUUCAUGGAAUGUAUACAAACUUCAGGUGUAUCUGUGUACCGCAGGUAUAUCACGUGGAAUACAUUCUUCAUCGCAAACAACUUACACUAUAAUGACUUGAUAUACAAUCAAUAUUUCUUUGUGUGAGUAAAUGGAGAAUUGUGUUGGUGUGUGUGUAAUUUAUCGGACAUUAUUUCAAAAUCAAUUUUAGAAUAGAAGGAUCAAGAAAAGAAAAUAGCUAUUAAAAUGGGGAAAGUAGGGCGGCACUUGCAAAAAUGGGAAACAGUAAAAUUAUGACAAGGUUAAGUUUGUAAGUCUUUAUUUACUUUCAAUAUAUGUAAUGCUUCUCCCGUGAGCUUGUUAUAUUCAAAAUUGUU